AGACACCGAUGGCUAUGCAAGCAGUGGUUCUGUGCAAGCGUGCAAGCAAACCAUUUGAUCCAUUAGAUUACGAUUCAACCACAGAUACAACCAUGGUUUGUUAGGAGCUAUUUUAUAAAGAUUAUUGAGCUAGUGGUGGAAGAGUUUAAGUGUUAAAUGUGAUUUACGGUUGGAUCACGAUCUAAUGGAUUAGAUGGUUUGGUUGCACGUUUGCACAAAAGGACUGCUUGCAUAGCGGUCGUUGCCU